ACAAUGGACAUGCUUAGUAGCGGCGAGUGAGCGGCAAAAGCUCAAAUUUGAAAUCUGGCGCCUUCGGUGUCCGAGUUGUAAUUUGAAGAUUGUAACCUUGGGGUUGGCUCUUGUCUAUGUUUCUUGGAACAGGACGUCACAGAGGGUGAGAAUCCCGUGCGAUGAGAUGCCCAAUUCUAUGUAAGGUGCUUUCGAAGAGUCGAGUUGUUUGGGAAUGCAGCUCUAAGUGGGUGGUAAAUUCCAUCUAAAGCUAAAUAUUGGCGAGAGACCGAUAGCGAACAAGUACAGUGAUGGAAAGAUGAAAAGAACUUUGAAAAGAGAGUGAAAAAGUACGUGAAAUUGUUGAAAGGGAAGGGUUUGAGAUCAGACUCGAUAUUUUGUGAGCCUUGCCUUCGUGGCGGGGUGACCCGCAGCUUAUCGGGCCAGCAUCGGUUUGGGCGGUAGGAUAAUGGCGUAGGAAUGUGACUUUACUUCGGUGAAGUGUUAUAGCCUGCGUUGAUGCUGCCUGCCUAGACCGAGGACUGCGAUUUUAUCAAGGAUGCUGGCAUAAUGAUCCCAAACCGCCCGUCUUGAACCACGGA
rnacentral:rRNA from 1 species